GUUCGUUAAACCCUCCCACCUAGAGGAAGGAGAAGUCGUAACAAGGUUUCCGUAGGUGAACCUGCGGAAGGAUCAUUGAAUCUAUCGUGCCCACACCGCGAAACUACUUAUGCCCUUCUGGAACAGGCAAACUUCAUUGUUUGCCCUUCAGUUGCGCAGGUCAGGGGCUGGCUCCUUUUGGUGUCAGUUGACUUGACUGGGCGGGUCCAAUACCAGCCGGAUUCACCUUGCCUUCUAGGCUUGGGGUUCUGCCGGCUGUGAGGGGUGGCUGUUUAACUCACUUUAAGCAAUCAAUUCUGAAGGCAGAUCUAUAGGCUGGCUAUGCUGGCUGUAGUCUGAUUAAAUAUAGACAACUCUCAACAACGGAUAUCUUGGCUCCCGUAACGAUGAAGAACGCAGCGAAAUGCGAUACGUAGUGUGAAUUGCAGAAUUCCGUGAACCAUCGAAUCUUUGAACGCAAAUUGCGCUCGAGGCCUCGGCCAAGAGCAUGUCUGCCUCAGCGUCGGCUACUACCCUCAACUAAGUUUCCUAUACACAUAGGGGAUGCCGGUUGGAUCUGGCCGUCCGGUUUGCCUUUUAGGUUGCCGGUCAGCUGAAAUACAUUCACGCUCUGGGGGCUGCUUUCCUUCCGAGGAGAGGCGAGUUCCGAUUUGGUAGGUGACCUUUGCCGGUUGCAUGCCUUCGUUGCCCGCUAAGCUUUCCAGUAUGCGUUGUGCAGGACGCCUUUUGGCUUUCGACCUGAGGUCAGGCAAGAACACCCG
rnacentral:rRNA from 1 species